UGUCAUGGCAGCUGUGCGUGGGAGGCCUUUGGGCCUGCCGGGUUCCUGGAGUCCUGGUCUGCGAACCCGCGUACAGUUGCCACCCUU
rfam:Pseudomonas sp. GM78 PMI35_contig127.127, whole genome shotgun sequence.